CAACUUGCCAAACCCACAGCGGAGAUGAGAUGAUGCGGAGAGGCCUGUCUGAUGGGGGAGAGAUAACGGCUGGAGAGAGGAGGAGGAGAAAGAGGAUGUGAAAGGGACAGGGACGCUAAGGGAACUGAGAAGGCACCUGUAUCCGAAAGGCCUGAAGAGGCUGCUUUGGGCAAAGCCAAAGUCCCCACCGAGCCAGCUCCCCUCCCCUCCCGGAGCUAGGGUGAGAAAGUCCGACCCAGGCUGAGUGUUGGUGGAGAAGUAAUGAUUAACCUUCCUCUCAACCGGGCCGAGCCAGCGGCCUGACUCCGCCGCGGUCGAGGGAUGUAGUGAGGGCGGAUCCGAGGCGACCCUAGCGCUAUCAGCCACUGCCACUGCAGCGGUGGGGACUGCGGAGGGAGGGGACAGACAGCAUCAAGAGGCAGCCAAAAGGGAUCGGAGUGCAAGGCAAAGGGAUCGCAACUGCGGGUGUCAGGAAACCAGGGAAAGCGAAAUAGCCACAGACGGUACGCAGGGAAAGUAAAGGCCAAAUGCGGGCCUGGGCGCGCGGCUGGGCAGCGCUGAGGAAUAGUUGGAGAAGGGCGGGAGCACCCGGGCCGAGUUUCCCCGGAGUUGGGAGCAGACACCAAAUCUACCGUCUCGGAUCCAUCCGCAGCGCGCGCUCCCCCCCUUCCUCCUCUCCCAGCUGCUGUGUGGAUGCGAGGAGCAGGCGGUGCGCGUGCCAGAGCCGGGAGCGGGCAAGGCAGGGGGAGACCCGCCUGCGAGACAGGGAGGCCGGCCGAAGAGCAGGGCCGCCCAGGCGAGGACAGGCUGCAAGGUGGCUGGAAACAAAGGACCGGAGCGAAGGGGAGAGGGGACACCGAGUCAAGAGGGGCUGGCUGAAACAGGGAGAGGCCCAAGGAAAGGGGGUCUCUCAGGGGACCCGCCAAGGUUUGUAUAUUCCUGCCUUCUCUCACGUCCAGCCUAGAGCCAGGACGCCCUGGGGGUUCUUGGCUCGCCGUUUGUGGCCUGGGGUUGGGCUGGGGGUGUUGCUGCAGCUGUGGGGGCCGUGUAAGUGUGCAUGCGUGUGUGAGCGCGAGUGUGUGUGUUCGCACGCGACGCUUUGGGCAGGCGAGGGAAGGGAUAAGGAGGGGAGGGCCUUCGCUGUAGGGUUAGACCCCUGCCCCAGGCGACUGCAACUCUCUGCCCUCCACCCUCCCCGCACUUGAAACAAAAGGCCUGAACCGAAUCAUUCAGGAGACAGGGCAAGAUCUCUUUAUGGAAAAAAAAGAAAAAAAAAAGUGCCUUGAUUUGAGAUUUUAAGGGUUACCUGCAUCCAGAAUUAUCGCUUAACUUUCUGUAACUGUUCCUAGAAAAGAAAAGGUGCGACAUAAAUCUGGGAUAGUAGGUCCAGGCCCGGUAGUUUGUCCUGCCACGUCUAGACCUGCGGUAGGGUCUAGACCCGCGGCUAACGAAUAUGUUGAAGAAACUGACUAGUGGAGGAAUACCCUUGCAAUUUCUAAAUCAAUUAAAGAGAAUUUCUUAAGUGUCUGCUUGGAGGCAGCGCAUCUUUUGGUGAGGGGAUGGUGUGAGUGUGUGUUUAAGUGUUGAGGGUGCAUAAAAAGUAUGUGAGGGGGGUGGCCAAGGGUGUUUAGGCAAACAGCUGUGUUCCAGGCGGGGCUGAGCUGGGAGCCAGGCCCCGCAUCCAGCACCUCCCCCUCCUCUCUCUGCCCUCAGCCGAGGCUGCUCGGAGGCCAAGGCCUCCUCAGCCUCUUCCAGCGGGGCCGCCAAUCAAUCCUGCAGGUCAACACAGCAAUUAAUAACGGGGUGAGGAGGCCUGGCAAAAGAGGGCGGGAGGCGUCAGGCUGUGUCUCCCCCAGGCUCUGAGGACCCGGCAGCGGGACCAGGGAGAGGGAGGGGUCUCCGAGGGUAGAAAGAAGCCUGGGAAGUCAGCUUGAGUCAUGGAGUGGGUUCAGAACCCCAGGAGGGAGAGACAGAGGAACAGCGCCGGGAGCCAGGGAACCAGAGAGCCACUAGGACAGAUCAGCGGAGAAAAAGGGAGGACAUCAAUAAACGUCUUAUUUUUAUGGUUCUGGGGGUACAGGCUACACUAUCUGAAGACCACAAUUGACCUAGUUACUGAAUCUCUCCCCUUUCCCCUUCCUUCACCCUUUCCUGAUGGUUUUCGCUGCUUAGAAACAGGCUCAGCGAGACCAAAUAAAACCCGCAUCCUUCGCAAACCCGGUUGCGGCGGUUGCGCCUGGGAGUCCGGCAGGCAGGUUGGUUAGUGGGUGUCUGUCACUGCCAUUUUGAACUCAUGGGGAGGGACCAAAAAGGGCACAGGGCCAGUCCAGGGGACAGGGCCCCCAGGGAGUGGUACCCCGGCCAGACGCGGCUCUGGUAAAGAACAGGGAAAGGGAGCGGGAGCAGUGAAGAGAGAAAGAAGGCGGCGAAGGGGCGAGGGCUGAAGACUCUGCGGCUCGGCUGGUGGGGUGCGCCUUGACCCGAGGGGAGAGUUCCUCCUCUCCAACACCGCCCUGCCUCCGGCCUGGCUCCGCGGCUCCUCCCCGCCCUUGCCUAGCUGCGCCUGCCAGAAGUGGGAGCCCUGCUUGGGGAAAGGAGGGAAGGGAACCGGAGUCUGGUAUGCAGGCUUGUCCUAUGGUCGGGAACCGAUAGGCACAGGUUCCCCGGGCAUGCGGAAAACGCCCUGGGCUCUUCUAAAGUAUCCCGGGUAAUUGGGGAUGAGGACCCUGACACGUGCACAAGGAUGUCCCCCGUGCUCUGCCUCCUUCUUCCUGAGAGUGGGGAGGGGGACUCCACACAACUGCUGGAAGACUUGCUGAGACUGGGAACCCACUCCAUGCACCUCAGGCCUGCCUAGAGGGAAAAUAGAAACGUGGUAGUUCCAGGAGUCUAAGCAAACCGGACAGAGGAAAGGGCAUCAGAAGGCAAAAAAUAUUCUGACAGAAGAAGAGAGAAGCCCUGGACAGGAAAGGAAGGAAGGGGGAGAGAGGUUCCCAGGAAGACCCAGCCAUUAGGUCUGUCCUUGGGCUGCAUAUUUAUACG
rnacentral:lncRNA from 1 species